GGGUGUGAUCUGAAUGUGUCAUCUCUCACCCCACUGAUCUCCAAGGUUGAUGUAACUGAUCUGUCUAGGUAAGCAUGUCUUUUAUCCCUUUUGAGGGUUCAUUCCAAAGAUGCAUGCCUGAUCAAAAAGAAUAAGCUUUCUGGAAUAGAGAUGACUAGAUCUUCAGUUGAGGCUAUAUGAAUAGCUGUACUCUUCUGUUAGAACCUUCAAAUAUGCUUUCAAGAACCGAGAGAGAGAGAGAGAGAGAGAGAGAGAGAGA
rnacentral:snRNA from 1 species